rnacentral:rRNA from 2 species
AGGGCGUAUGGUGGAUGCCUUGGGACUUGAAGGCGAUGAAGGACGUGGUAAGCUGCGAUAAGCUACGGGUAAGUGCAAACAACUUUUGAUCCGUAGAUUUCCGAAUGGGGAAACCCAUUAUGAGUAAUAUCAUAAUACUAUGUCUUGAAUAUAUAGAGACAUUAGAGCAAACGGAGUGAAUUGAAAUAUCUUAGUAACUCCUGGAAUAGAAAAUAACAAUGAUUCUCCUAGUAGCGACGAGCGAAAGGGGAAGAGCCUAAACUUAUUAUGUGCCAAAUCUGUUAAUUUUGCAUAAUAAGGGUUGUGGGGAUAAUUAUGAAUUCAUAACAGUGGAUUCGACAAGUCAAAAAGAUACAAGUUAGAAGAAUAUUUUGGAAAGAAUAACCAUAGAAGGUAAUAGUCCUGUAUUUUAAAAUUUGUAUCCUUGUUAAAUUAUUUCCCAAGUAGCAUGAAGCACGUGGAACUUUAUGUGAACCUGCCAGAACCAUCUGGUAAGGCUAAAUACUCUCAAGUCACCGAUAGUGAAUUAGUACCGUGAGGGAAAGGUGAAAAGUACACAUAGAAGUGAGUGAAAUAGAACCUGAAACCAUACGCUUACAAGCGGUCAGAGUCUCGAUUUUAUCGAGAUGAUGGCGUGCCUUUUGCAUAAUGAGCCUGCGAGUUAUCGUAUGUAGCAAGGUUAAUCUUUUAAAUGAGGAGCCGUAGCGAAAGCAAGUCCUAAAUGGGCGAUUAGUUAUGUGUGGUAGACCCGAAGUUGAGUGAGCUAUCCAUGGUCAGGAUGAAGCGACGGUAAGACGUCGUGAAGGUCCGAACCAUUGUAAGUUGAAAAUUACUUGGAUGAACUGUGGAUAGGGGUGAAAGGCCAAUCAAACUCAGCGAUAUCUGGUUCUCUUCGAAAUAGCUUUAGGGCUAGCCUUGAUAAUUUGUUGCGGAGGUAGAGCACUGAAUGGGUUAAGGAACCUUCACCGGUUACCAAUCCCAAUCAAACUUUGAAUACCGUAUACAUUAAUAUCAGGAGUCAGCUUACGGGGGAUAAGCUUCGUGAGCAAGAGGGAAACAACCCGGACCGACAGCUAAGGUCCCAAAAUGUAAAUUAAGUGAGAAAGGAAGUGAAAUUACUCAAACAGCUAGGAUGUUGGCUUAGAAGCAGCCAUUCAUUUAAAGAGUGCGUAACAGCUCACUAGUCAAGUGAUUUUGCGCCUAUAAUUUCCGGGACUUUAAAAUUUACUACCGAAGCUUCGGAUCUCGAUUUAUCGAGAUGGUAGAAGAGCGUUCUAUUAACCUGUGAAGGUCAUCUGUGAGGAUGGCUGGAGGAGAUGGAAAUGAGUAUGCAGGCACGAGUAACGAUAAAGCAGGUGAAAUACCUGCUCACCGAAAGCCCAAGGUUUCCUGAGUAAAGCUAAACUGCUCAGGGUUAGUCGGCCCCUAAGCCGAGGCUGAAAAGCGUAGGCGAUGGGAAACAGGCAAAUAUUCCUGUACCAGCAAUAAACUGUUUGAACUAUGAAGUGACACAGAAGUGAAAGAUCAGCCAUCUGACGAAAUAGGUGGUCUAAGCAUGUAGGAAGUUCUACUAGGAAAAUCCGGUAGAAUAAUUCUGAGGUGUGAUGGGGAGUCCUUAGGACAUAAACUGAUCCUAAUCAUACUGUCAAGAAAAACUUCUAUGUUAGGUUUAUUAUUGACCGUACCGUAAACCGACACAGGUAGGCGAGAUGAGUAUUCUAAGGUGAUGGACGAACUCAAGUUAAGGAACUAGGCAAAUUAGCCCCGUAACUUCGGGAUAAGGGGUGCCUUUUUUAGGUGAAGUUUUUUACAAAUGGAGCCGAAGAAGGUUGCAGUGAAAAGGCCCAAGCGACUGUUUAUCAAAAACACAGGUCUCUGCUAAGUCGAAAGACGAUGUAUAGGGACUGACACCUGCCCGGUGCUGGAAGGUUAAGGGAAAUUGUUAUUCCGACUUGUCGGAAGAAGCAAAGCACUGAAGCCCCAGUAAACGGCGGCCGUAACUAUAACGGUCCUAAGGUAGCGAAAUUCCUUGUCGGGUAAGUUCCGACCUGCACGAAAGGUGCAACGAUUUGGGCACUGUCUCAACUUGAGGUCCAGUGAAACUGUAGCGUCGGUGAAGAUGCCGGCUACCCGCGGCAGGACGGAAAGACCCCGUGAACCUUUACUACAACUUGAUAUUGGGUUUUGAUAUCGUAUGUGCAGGAUAGGUGGGAGACUAUGAAGUUCAGAUGCCAAUCUGGAUGGAGUCGUUGGUGAAAUACCACCCUUAUGAUGUUAGGAUUCUAACUCAGUACUAUAUAUCUAGUGCGAGAACAGUGUCAGGCAGGUAGUUUGACUGGGGCGGUCGCCUCCCAAAGAGUAACGGAGGCGCUCAAAGGUUCCCUCAGUGCGGUUGGUAAUCGCAUGGUGAGUGUAAAGGCAAAAGGGAGCUUAACUGCGAGACCGACAGGUCAAGCAGAUGGGAAACCAGGACUUAGUGAUCCGGCGGUAGCGUAUGGAAGUGCCGUCGCUCAACGGAUAAAAGGUACUCCGGGGAUAACAGGCUUAUCUCCCCCAAGAGUUCAUAUCGACGGGGAGGUUUGGCACCUCGAUGUCGGCUCGUCACAUCCUGGGGCUGGAGAAGGUCCCAAGGGUUGGGCUGUUCGCCCAUUAAAGUGGCACGCGAGCUGGGUUCAGAACGUCGUGAGACAGUUCGGUCCCUAUCCGCCGUGGGCGUAGGAAAUUUGAAAGGAUCUGCUUCUAGUACGAGAGGACCGAAGUGGACGAACCUCUGGUGCAUCUGUUAUUGCGUCAGCAGUAUUGCAGAGUAGCUAUGUUCGGACAAGAUAAGCGCUGAAAGCAUAUAAGCGCGAAGCUUACCUUAAGAUAAGAUUUCCCUUGAGAAUCUUUGU